rnacentral:lncRNA from 1 species
UAACAUAUCACAUAAGUUGUCUAGCUCAUCCAGGUUGACAUCUUCAUCAUUGAUUAGUUGGUUGAUCUAAAACUGUCGAUUGCAACUUCUUUAAGUAGAUGUACCUUGAGAACCACAUGAGUAAUUCUUCACUUGAGAACCCGGAAAUCAACUUACAUCUUCUUCCAAGCUCAACUCCAUAUCAGACUGCAUCUGAUGAACCACAUGAUCCACCAUGUUGUUUGACAGGACAUCAACACACAUGGGAGCUAUCUCAAGACUCUCAUUGUCUUUAACAAUGAUU